rnacentral:misc_RNA from 1 species
AAGGAGAAGGCUAACUUUUUCAAGCAGGCAGCUAGUUAAAGAGGAGGGCUUUAAAGUGAGCAUACAUGUGCAUAGGUUUAAGCAAUGGAUGCAUGAAAGCAGUUUUUAUGUAAUGGUUAACGUGAAAUGAAGCAUUACUAUCAGAUUGGAAUUUUUUAAGCACCAUUUUUUCAUUCAAUUUGUGAAACAAAAGUUUUGCUGUUUAACAAAAUCAAGAACUGAUUUUAGCAUUUAAAUUAAAAUAUGUACGUUGUAUUUUCUUUGCCGGUAUUGUUGGACUUUAUUAUUGUUAGGGGGAUUUUGUGGUCUUUUAACAUUGAAGUUGAAAUUUUUUUCACUUGCACUGGUCUUCCGCUUGAUAUUGAAACUUUUCUGUAAUCUGAAUGUUAGAGAAUGUAGAUUAGUACCUUAAGUUUAAAAUUGUCACCUCAGGAACCUGUUAGCAACAACAUGAUAUUUUUUGUUUUGGGGUAAAUUUGCAAUAAAUUGUUAUUUUCUGUUAAAAGUUAAUGUUGAUAAAUAUUCUAUGUAUAGUUGAUAAUGCAAGAUUGUUUUUUUUUUCCUUUUUCCUUUGUUAAUUUUUUUUGGUAUUGGAGUGCAAUUUUGUUAAUGAUCUGAAUUUGUUUUCUGAUUUUGAGUUAUUCCUAGUCCAUGAAAUAAUUUUUUUAUUAUAUAUUUCUUUCCAUUUUAAUGCUCGUACUAACAUUGUAUACUUUGCACAAGAUCUGAUUUAGUUUUUAAUUUGAACAAAACCUAUCUGUGUUUUUUUAUUUUUUUUUAUGGCAGAGGUUUAUUUUUUCACUCGCCUUGUAAAUGAUGUUUUGUAUUUGUACCUGAAGAUCAGUAUGAAAUUGUUCAACCGUAACUAAUGGUAAUGCAAUAUACAUGUAAGUAGAAAAAAUUAAAAUCUCACAAGUGCAUUCAUAUGUAUGAUUUAUAAACCAAUCACUGCACUCUCUGUAUCUGAAAGUUAAUAACUUGGUCAUAUAUUUUUCAGAAUCAUUUUCUUACUCAAACGGUUAAUAUAAGUUUGGGACCAUGUUUAACUGUAUAGAAAUUGGUUUCUAAGGCAAGACUUUUUCAUUUAAAAAAAAAUUAGUAGUACAUGUAUAACCAGUAAAAAAAACCAGUGCAAUGACCUUUGAUAUUGCAAAUCUUUUAUUGGAUUAGACAUCACAUUAUCCUCGGAAAGGGUUUUAAUGUUGCAAAAUGUCAAAUGCAAUUUACACUUGAACAGGGUGAGGUGCAUAAUUUUAUUGUAAAUUCCAUUAUUAUCCAACUUGUGUUCACCAGUAUUAAUAGUCUUAAAAAUCCAUUACAGUUGAAUUUCUCGUGUAAAAUAACCCCUUGUUAUUGUUGAUAUGGUGCUUGGCUUAAUUUUUUUGUAUGAUUUAUUGUAUAUUCCCCACCCUUUUAUCAAGUACUAAUCUUUUUUGUGUGGUUUCAGAUGUUUAUGUAAUACUUGGAUAUAUGUGUCUUGUGUUAGUGUACACAGGUAGAAGUAAUGUUUUUAUAUGUUUGUAACUCUAGUUGCAAUCGCUUCUUUUUUAUAUGUUUUUAUUGUACAAAAAUAAAUAUUCAUAUCAUGU